AAUACGUGGUAUUGAUUAUCUGCAUAGAAUGUAAUAACCCUUUCCAUCGCGCAUGGCUUCAGAAAUUACCUCAGUCAUCUAACAUGGCGAUCUGCGAAGGGAACUCGCUUGUAGAAGUCAUCCUUUCGAUAAUUUUUGAACGAGUUAUACGUAAAGUUAUACAAGACUAAACGAAGAUGAAAGCAGUUCCAAGAGCCCAGAAGUAUUGCAGAGGAGCCUAAUUGACCGAUAUCUGAAUUAUAAUUACGUUCAAAGAAGAUACAUGGAUUUCUGCGUUCAACGUGAUAAUUAAACAUUCGACAUCCGAAAUGAAACACACGUACAUCGGUACUUCCUGUUUUUCCUUACAUCAGACGAUAUGUCCUAUUUGGAUAAGACAAAUAUCCGACCGUCAACCAGGUUAGGAAAGGAAAACGUUUUUCUCUUCAGUCUUAUGUUUAAAUGAUUUUAUCAUGGCGACGAGAGUAUUUCUAUCGAUGAGUGGGUUAUUAGGUCUCUUACCUUAAGCAAUUUUAAAGGUAUUAUUUCAAUAUAAAUCAAUAAUCCAUAUAAUUUUCAACUGCUGUAAUAAAGAAUAUUCGAUAUAGGAAACAAGAUGCUUGAUGUAGGAGAGGAGAUGGUAAAAACGGCGGAGGAAGCUGAUGCUGCUUGCGAAUUUAUUACAAAUCUUGCCAAUAAUCUGAAACCCAAGUUGGUGAGAGAGGAAGCUAAUUAUCUGGUGUAUGAAAGCAACAUGUUACUAUUGCUAGAACAAUACUAUAACAACCAUCGACUUCAAUAUUGAAUUUAAUUAAACGAGCGCAUUGGAUCGUGAAUGCAGAAGAGUGGUUUAAAAACCAGUUGGAAUUUCUAACCAAGGAAGAAACAUCGUUAGCUAUUGUUCAUGUAUGCGUUAUCUGAUUGGGAAUACUUAAGAAGAGGAAAAAGAAGAAAAAACAUUUGUGCUUGACGACGAAGCUUGGAAAGACCAAUAUGGCGCUGUUUUAUGAAGCUUGGAACAGCGGUAAGAGGAAAUGGGAGAGAUUUACAUUUUUCAAAGGAUCCAAACGUGAGCGGCUUUAGCUGGAGCGUAUAUUCGAUUGAACUCGGAAAGAUUUAUUGAAAGGUCGUCCGAAGUUUCACAUGGGGCAAGAAUCAAAGAUGUGAACUACGUUUGUUCGAUAAAGUACCAUCGAUUUGCUGAGAGCUAACGUCCGAAAGGGUUCAUGGCAGUUAUGGUUAUUACGUUUUACGCACAUUAAUUGCUCACACGAACGGAAAGGUCGAAAAUGAAAUUAAUUAAGGAGUAUUGAGCUUCUCUUUUAUUAAGGAACAAUAUCUUUUAAUUCGGCAUAUUACUUUUUUUUUUCUUUUUCCUUCACAGCUUAUAAUUUGAAAUUAAUUAAAGAAUAUUGACUAUUGACAAUCAAUUUUUUUUAUUUAUCUACUUAAAAAUGACUAUCAUUAAGAAUUAAUUUCUCCUUUGUUUAUCUCUUGAAACUAUCAUUUCUUUUCCUGUAUUACGCAAUAAUAAGAGAUAUGAAUUCAGAGAGAAUCUUUCUCCAUAUUCAUUUUUUUUCCGUUACAUCGUCUUUUUCUCUACGUAUUUCAUUUGAAUGCGCUUUACGCAGGUGGAUUAAAAUUUUUUGUUAAUCGGCCGAAAAGGAUAUGUGUUCGGAGGAAACGAAUUUCUCGACCAAUCCCUUUUAAUUCGACGUAACAUUAUUCGUUCGAAUAGUGGUACGAUUAGACCUUUUUCAUGAAUACAUCUUUUUCAAGGAAUCCAUGGAUGGGGAGUUUUAGCUAGAGGGUAUAAUCGAUUCAAGUCGAAAGGACCGUUGAAGGAUUGUCAGACGUUCCAUGUGGAACAUAAUCAAAGUGAAAUUAAGAUGGAACUGAAAGUUUAUCAUCUAUCAUAAGUAAACCUACGAGAACGAUAUAAAGACUCACCGCUUUUCCAGAUAACAAUACUAGCCCGAGAAUAUUUUUAAAUUAUACGAGAAAUGUUAAGGCCAUGUUUACGUCAUAGUUAUUUCAUCAAUUUAAAUUGAGUAGAAUAUCCCAAUAGAAGAAAUUUUGAGGUCAGUGUUUCAAAUUAUUCUUCAUAUAGUAUUCACGAUAUGUACUAGAAAAAUAUUUAUAAUACUUAGUGUACGUUUUUUAGUAAUAUCGAAAUUUGAACGAAUUAAUUUGCUGUGUAAUCCCAACUCUCUUGUUAGUAAGUUUUGAUUGGGUCUUACUGAAAAUGCAUGUACGUAUCGUUAAUUACUCUCGGAUUAAAAGAUUUGUUAUUGCCUCUCUCCAUGCACGUGUGCUCUUGUGUACGCUUUUGUGCACUGACAUGUGGACGGGAAUACGUGUGUCUUUCUAUCUGCGUGUGAACGGACACAUGUUGUCUCAUUUUGAAAAUAAGAAUUAAGAUCAGAAUCAUUUGUUUUCAUAGAAUUUUGAUUUCUUUUGCAAGAAAUUUGUUCCUCGAUCUAUAUAAAUUCAGAUAAAACAAAUACCACUACAUAUAUUCCUUGGUGUACCAAAGUGAGACUAUGUAAUAUGUUACACUAUAUACCACGUUUGUGCGACGUUAAUACCGCCCUGUUGCUGCUACCAAACGUUCGAAAGGACGCCGAGUAUAAAAGGUAAAUACGGAAUAAUAUCAAAAUAGAAAUCAUUCUGUGCUUUUCAUCUUUUUACCGAAAGAACGAAGAAUUGAUAUGCUUUUGCUUGAUUUUUGAUAAACUGAAUAUUAUUAUUAUUAUAGUAAUAAUUAUAAUAUUUCAAGUUAAUGUUUUAGAUAUAAUAGAAUCGACAAAUGAAUUAUUUUCAUAAUCGUAAUAUUUAAACGAUAGUAUAUUCGCUUAAACAUUACGAAGAUCGUAACGUGCGAAUAACAUAAAAUAAUUUUCAGCUAAAAUUUAAAUAAUUUAUGAUUUUCAUAUUGGAAUAGUUGCAUCUGAGUUUCAUCGCUGCGUGUAAUGUCAAUAAAAACGAACAUUGGAAUGACUUUGACGGUUACCCUCACUUUUUAAAGGUGAAAACUUCAAACUUAAUACUUUUGAUAAUUUUAAACUCAUUUAAACGAUAUAAAUGUACGACGAGUUAAACUAUCCAUUAUUUAAGCAGUAGUAGAUUCCGUUAAACAUUACACGCCACGAAACACCGACGGAAUAUCAGAUAAUUUUUAUUUAUUCUCUGUUGGACUCGAAUUUUGAAAUGGCCGUUGUUGGCAACAUGUAAAGUCAAUAAAUGAUUAGUUUGGACGGUUACCGAAUUAGUUUUCCUUUGUACUCCGACGAAUAAACAUCGAAGCUCUCUCGCUGCCACCCGCAAAGAAUGAAAGUUACAUUCACGUAGGUGUAUAUAAGAAAAUAUAUUAUAUAAGUUUUUCUUUAAGGUAAUUGUAAAAAAAAUGUAAUGAACUAACGAAAAUAUUUGUAUCUCUCUCUAUGAGUAAACGUAAUUAAGCUAGGAAUAGAUGUACAUUGUAGCCAUUAAUAUUUUUCUGUAAUGAUUUCUUGAAUUCUGCGCUCGACUCUUUUCGAUGUGUAUGUAAGGAACAUCAACUUUUCGCAAUGUGUGUGGUAACAUCGCAUCGGAAACUAAGUCUUGCGAAUAAAAGGAAAUAUCGGUUUAA